rnacentral:rRNA from 1 species
GAUGAACGCUGGCGGCGUGCCUAAUACAUGCAAGUCGAGCGAACAGACGAGGAGCUUGCUCCUCUGACGUUAGCGGCGGACGGGUGAGUAACACGUGGAUAACCUACCUAUAAGACUGGGAUAACUUCGGGAAACCGGAGCUAAUACCGGAUAAUAUAUUGAACCGCAUGGUUCAAUAGUGAAAGACGGUUUUGCUGUCACUUAUAGAUGGAUCCGCGCCGCAUUAGCUAGUUGGUAAGGUAACGGCUUACCAAGGCAACGAUGCGUAGCCGACCUGAGAGGGUGAUCGGCCACACUGGAACUGAGACACGGUCCAGACUCCUACGGGAGGCAGCAGUAGGGAAUCUUCCGCAAUGGGCGAAAGCCUGACGGAGCAACGCCGCGUGAGUGAUGAAGGUCUUCGGAUCGUAAAACUUUGUUAUUAGGGAAGAACAAAUGUGUAAGUAACUAUGCACGUCUUGACGGUACCUAAUCAGAAAGCCACGGCUAACUACG